rnacentral:rRNA from 1 species
ACUCCUACGGGAGGCAGCAGUGGGGAAUCUUAGACAAUGGGGGCAACCCUGAUCUAGCCAUGCCGCGUGAGUGAUGAAGGACCUAGGGUUGUAAAGCUCUUUCAGCUGGGAAGAUAAUGACGGUACCAGCAGAAGAAGCCCCGGCU